rnacentral:rRNA from 1 species
UACGGAGGGUGCAAGCGUUAUCCGGAUUUACUGGGUUUAAAGGGUGCGUAGGUGGGUCUGUAAGUCAGUGGUGAAAUCUCCGGGCUCAACCCGGAAACUGCCAUUGAUACUAUAGGUCUUGAAUAUCCUGGAGGUGAGCGGAAUAUGUCAUGUAGCGGUGAAAUGCUUAGAUAUGACAUAGAACACCAAUUGCGAAGGCAGCUCACUACGGGAUUAUUGACACUGAGGCACGAAAGCGUGGGGAUCAAACAGG